rnacentral:rRNA from 1 species
CGCGUAGGCGGCCGCGUGUGUCGGAUGUGAAAGCUCCGGGCUCAACCCGGAAAGUGCGUCCGAGACUGCGCGGCUCGAGGCCGGGAGGGGGAAUCGGAAUGCAGGGUGUAGCGGUGAAAUGCGUUGAUAUCCUGCAGAACACCGGAGGCGAAGGCGGAUUCCUUGAACGGCUCUGACGCUGAGGCGCGAAAGUCGAGGGAGCAAACA